GAGACUGGAUUAAUGACCGUCAUUGGUGUCAGAUAGCUAGCGAGCCAGCUCGUCUCUAGCCCGAGUAAAAGAAGAACGUGCAUUUUGUCUAGAGAUAUGUAUGAAUACAUACACAAAGUCACAAUUAUCAUGGAAAAAUUGACAACGCAAUGAGUGGGGAGAUGAUGAGAGGAAAAAUACUGGAUUAAAUGUUUGUAUGAAGACCCCAUACCUUGGUUUGAAGACUACGUGCAAAAGUUAACAUCGUCAAAUAAUAAAUAUGCAUUUUAUUUUUAUGAAUUUAAAUUUGUGCGGAUAUUAUUAAAUUUAAUGAAAUUAUAAAA